GCAUGCAUCAGCCAUAUCCAUGCUAUCUCCUAAAGCAGUCAUUCUGAAACCCAAUCUGGGGACAGUGCAGACUAAAUAAAAUUUCAUUUUGAUUUGGCCUCCCGCUGAGAAUGGGACUGCUUUGUUUCAGCCGACAGAACAAGCAAGCCAGAAAGUCUUCAGCAGAUCCUUCAACUACAUCUCUAAAAGAAAAGGAAAAAAAUCUGUCUUUUAGGAUUUUUCAUUUAUCCCUGCUGGCUGGGAAGCAAGCUACAUCAAACAUAGGAAACAUAGAACAUACGGAAUAUGCAAGACAUUAUCACUGAUAAGACUGCUCCCAGGGCAGGUCCUCUUGUCCUUCACGCUGAAGCUUUGGUCAAUGAAGAUCUAUGAAGAUAAGGUGGCCUGAAUAACCAGUCUCAGGAAGCAGAUGUGCAUCCGAAAAUACCUGCAGUAUCAUGGAGGAACUUGCCCAGUCUGCAAGGCAAUCAACUGAACAUGAAUGCUCACCAUUUGUCUAUGUGGAGAUAGUCACUAUGGGAAAUCUGAUCUUGAAGAAGCUGUGAAAAUUCCAUGCCAGAAGUUACUGACAGCAGAAGAGCAGUUGGGUCUCCAGUUGAAAGCCUCAAAAAACAAAAACAAGUGAGAAUUAAAACAAUGAAACAAUAAUGGAAACCAAGAUGUCCAAUACUGGAGGUGACGUUUGCUGUAAGAAUACUGUCCUGGAGAAAAGGCUAUGGAAAGGGAAGCAACAAACAUUGGGAAGGUUCAGCAACACACACACACACCACCCUUAUGCCUUUUUUGCUCUUUUAAGUUUCUCUUCCCAUUUCCUACAAGAUUCAAGUAGAGCUUUGUUUAAAAAGCUAGAUCUGCUGCUAGGACAUCUAGUUUAGCUAAGCUUCACACCUUGUAGGAGCAAGUUAUCUGCUACUUGGGGGCUGUCCUUGGUCCUGCAAAUGCUCUGUGUUUUGACACUGAGUGCCUAUCUACUUGGUUCAGUUGCCUGCCACUUGCUGGUAAAUAUGGCCAGGCCUGCCAAGGCUGUGUCCCAUUUCUCACAAAGGUCUAAUAAGAACAAGACAGACAGGACUGCAGAAUAACAUAAUGCAUACCUUCAAGAGAAACGGUUGAGUAAAGUGCUACACCAGAAAAUUCAGUAAAGGUAAAGCAGCAUUUGUUUUAGGAAAUUCAUGUUCUUUGUGGUUCAGGGUUUUUUGAUGGAUGGGAAAAUUUAAAACAUAAAAUAAAAUUUGGACAAAAAAUGUGAAUUUUAAAAAAUUUAAUAUUCAAUAGGGACCACAAAUGAUUUGUUUCACUUCCCACAGUCCUACUGUGCAUUUUAUCUGUACCCUGUAGAUAUAUUUAUUUCCAUAAAUAACAGAGUUUAUGCUGAUGGAAGCUAGGCUGUUGUUUUAAAAAUAAAGAUGAAAACUUGAUUAAAAUUCAAAAGGAAAGGAAAGAGCGAUUAUUUGGGGAGUUUUAUUUACUUAUUGGGCAAAUCCUGCUAAAAACAGUUAGGCCCUCUAUGUGUUUAAAAAGUAAUAAAUAGCUAUUGUGCUUACUUCAUAAA